CUCAUCCCGGGUGCGCACGGGCGAAGAGAGCAUACUGGUCGAGUCCUGGAAGCGGCUAGCGAGGAGAGUCGGUUCACGGCUGAGCCUGGUUCAAGUUCCCUCGCAAAACCUCGAGCCCAUCCAUAGAGCAGCGCGCUACAUUAGGGAGGUAUUCUACUAAACGCGUCCUACACGCAGUCUACUUAAUCGCAAAGUUGAUAUUAAUACCAAUAUACUAGCACAAACUGAAUUGCGUAUUGGUACAUGAAGAAUAAAGAAUAUAAUUUUCCCUGAGUAAAUAUUGUCUGCUUCCUAA